rnacentral:lncRNA from 1 species
AGUUCCAGGAUAUAUAUGUUCACCCUGCACCAAAGACUUUAGCUGAGGCUGGUUACACUGUAGAUAGUCAUUUAUUUCUGCCUUAUGACAUGCACUCGCAGCCGUUUGUUAGACAGAAAUAUAUAUACCCAAUAGAGGAUGGACAGUUUGAUGAUAACAGUGAUGAAAAUACAGAAGAAACAUGAUUAAUAUAGGGGUGAAAACAGAGAGCAAAUAGGAUUAUCAUAGUGAUGAAAAUAGAGAGGAAAUAUGAGUAAUAUAAGGGUUAAAAUCUAGAACAAAUACGAAUAUUAUAGUGAUCCAAAAUACAGAUCAAACAUGAUUGAUAUAGGGUUAAACUCAAGAUCAAGUACAAUUAUUAUAGUGAUUAAAAUACAGAGGAAAUAUGAAUGAUAUAGUGGUGAAAAUAGAGAGCAAAUAGGAUUAUUAUAGCGAUCAAAAUACAAAGAAAACAUGAAUGGUAUAGGGCUGAAAAAAAGAAAGGAUAUAGAAUUAUUAUAGUGGAGAGAACAGAGAGCAAAUAGGAUUUAUAUAGGGGUGAAUAAAGAGAACAAAUAGGAUUAUGGUGGUUAAAAUAGAGAGCAAAUGAUUAUUAAAGUGGCGAAAAUACAGUACAGAUAUGAUCAUUAUAGUGACGAAGAUAGAUAUCGUUGACAGCCUUUUAUUAUCUUAAAACAAAACAAAAAUGUCUGUCUUCUUCGUUUGUGGAACUCUUUUUAGAAACAAGCUGUUUAGUAAGAUCAUUUGAAGACACCUGAAUUUGGUUUCUCCUCAAUUAAAUGGAAAAGACAUAUCUCUUAGUGUAUAAUCUCUUAUUGUAUAAGUUUGGUUUAAGUAUUUAGUGGAUGUAAUUAAUAAAAAUAGGAGAAUUUAUACAGAGUUUCUAGUCAAUGAACAAAGUAACUGAAAUAUAUAGUGUUUUCAGUAUCUAAGGUUAGAAUUACCAUGUUAAGUUUUGACCUAUGAUAUGAUAUAAAAGAUAAUUAUAAUCCAUCAAAAUCCUUGAUUAAAAAUUAUUGUACAAAGUCUCAACAUCCUAAUAAGUGGUUUCUGAAUAAAUCUGAAUUUUUUGAAACAACAACCUGUCAUGUUGGUAUGUGGUUGUGAUUUAUUUUGCCACAUUCAACAAUGCCACAUAAAAAUCAGGAAGACAAUGAUAAGGCUUCUUAGCUAUAUUUGACAAAUGAUUUAUUUGUACAAAUGAUGAAAAUGAAUGUCUAAUUAAUAAAUAAAAAAACACUGCAUUGUAUAUAUAAAACAUGGUACUGUUCAUUGUGUUGAUUGAUACCUUUUGUGUCAAUGGUAAAUAAAUACAAAUUCAACUGUAGAUAUGAAUUAAGAAACCUAAAUGUGAAUAUUUUUAGGAACACACCAAAACUAUUACUAUCAAUUGGCUGACCAGUCUGAAAAAAAAUAGUUUAAUCUAUAUCAUUAAAGAACUUGUUAUUCAAUUUGUACAAUUUUGAUUUAGAAGUUGAUUUUUUACAAACCCGAGUAUAUUUGGUCAGUU